rnacentral:rRNA from 1 species
AUUGAACGCUGGCGGCAUGCCUUACACAUGCAAGUCGAACGGCAGCACGGGAGCAAUCCUGGUGGCGAGUGGCGAACGGGUGAGUAAUACAUCGGAACGUGCCCAGUAGUGGGGGAUAGCCCGGCGAAAGCCGGAUUAAUACCGCAUACGACCUACGGGUGAAAGCGGGGGAUCGCAAGACCUCGCGCUAUUGGAGCGGCCGAUGUCAGAUUAGCUAGUUGGUGGGGUAAAGGCCUACCAAGGCGACGAUCUGUAGCUGGUCUGAGAGGACGACCAGCCACACUGGGACUGAGACACGGCCCAGACUCCUACGGGAGGCAGCAGUGGGGAAUUUUGGACAAUGGGGGCAACCCUGAUCCAGCCAUGCCGCGUGCGGGAAGAAGGCCUUCGGGUUGUAAACCGCUUUUGUCAGGAAAGAAACGCUCUGGGCUAAUACCCCGGAGUAAUGACGGUACCUGAAGAAUAAGCACCGGCUAACUACGUGCCAGCAGCCGCCGCGGUAA